CUGGACUGGGAUGAAACCACAGUGAGGGAGAGGGGUGGAGGUAGAGAAGGCUUCGGGUUUCUCUCCUGGACUGGGUGCACUCUGCUUAAUUAGCAUGAGAAUAGAAAGACGGUCUCCCUGCCUCCCUUAGGGAUGGAGAGGAACCGAAGAGCAAAGACUCACGCUCUGUCCUACUCCAUCAGAGAUUCUGGGACUGGGGAAAUGACCACUUUCACAUUCCUCCGAUCCUCUGCGGACCCCAGGACCCAGGGUACUGAGAAAAGCUUUGAUGGAGCCUGCUGGUGGAUCUCCACUCCAGAUUUUCCAGCUGUCCCUGUCCCCCCACCGCUCAGAGAGCAGGAUGCUGAGAUGGCUCGGUGAUGCAGAAGGUAUGUGCUUUUUCAGUUCUGGUGCUGAUGCUGUGUGUGUGGUGAGGUCUCUGUGGCGCAAUGGACGAGCGCGCUGGACUUCUAAUCCAGAGGUUCCGGGUUCGAGUCCCGGCAGAGAUGGUCACCUGGCAGAUAAUUGACCAUGGGUGGAAACUCAAGAUGGACAAAGAGGACAAUCAGAAUAUUAAUGGAGAGGUGAUACAUGUCAAAGAGAAAAUAAGAAAAUGCAUCUCAACUGUAUGACUAGGUUGAAAAACAGGUAAACAGGCCAAUUUCUGCUGGGAGAUAAUUUGAAAGGCUGAGACCUUUUAAUACCCAAGAAGUAUUGAACAUCACAAUAUUUGCACAAUAUAUUGAAUAUCUCAAACAGGCUCAUUUUCUCAGAAUGAUGGAAGAGCCCUGAACUAGGAAUCAGAACUAGUCUUGGGUUUAGCUUUUAGUCUGCUCAGUAAUUUGAAAUCCGUGUAAUCUGUGUGAUUGAGCUUUUCUGAGUCUCGUUUCCUCAUCAGUAAAACGGAGAUGGCAUGUUUUUCCUUUUCCAUACUGUUAUUUUGAUUUAUACAUGCAUAUUAAAUGGCUUUGUAAAGCAUUAGGAACUAUGAUAAUGAUGGAGAUUUUAUUAGUUUUAGUAUUUUAUUAUUAUUUAUUACUAUUUUAUUAAUGAGUUGGCUUCACUAAUAGAGCAGGCUGGGUAUUAUGAUUAGGGGCUUCCAAAAGACUAGCUGCCUGUCAAGUUUUGCCUAAAUUGAACUGUAAUAGUGUGAUUAAAUCAUUUUAUGAGGUCCAAAGUUUCUAAGGUCCUUCAGUUCAGUUCAGUUCAGUCGCUCAGUCGUGUCCGACUCUUUGCGACCUUAGGUUAUGAAAAUAAGAAAUAUUUAAAAAUACAAUUACAUUAAAGAUGAAAUUUAAUUCAAUUGUGUACCUCUUAGCACUUGAUUAGCUGGCCAUCCUAGCAAUGUCUUGAGAGAAUGGAGCAGAAUUGCUGAAGAGCUUUGGGUCACCACAAAAGUACUGAAUGAAUGCCUGUCUGAACAUCAGAGGUGGGCAAGGCAUUAAUGAAGAGAGGAGUGGUCUUUUGUAAUUGUCUUCACAAUUUUGACUCAGGAUAGUUUGUUUUGCCCAUAUCUAGGGGUUUUGAGAGAUGGCAGCCUGUGAUUUUUUUUUCCUUUGAAUUCUUUCCCAGUGCCAUCUUUUCCCCUAAGCAAAUAUUCUCAAUACAGGAUCCUGACUAACCCUCCUGGAGUUCUUAUGGCAUAGAUAGCUAAUGUCCCACAAAGAAUGCAUGCUUCCCUUCCAGGAGCCUUAUAUCUUGUAACCUGUAUUCUAGGAGUCUUCCAGGAGACUUUCCAAACUGCCUUGUAUCUAGGUGGGGCUGGGUGCCAAUGGCAGGUUGUAUGGGUGUGAUGUGUGUCACGUACAGGCUGAGCUAGUUAAGAAGCAAAUGAUUUCUCCACUCCCUUUUCUUCUUGUCUGCUUACUGAAAACUGAUGCCAGUGAUAAUACUGGAAAUCAAGUCUUGAGGAGGGAACUAUCAUUAAAAAUGGAAAGAAACUGGGCAUCUGAGUCACUGCUUGAAGGAGAGCUGCCCUAUCAGGAACACCUACGUCAUACUGGAAUGUAAGCAAAUAAUCCACUGGGACUUUUGGGUUUUCUGGUAUUACCUGGAUUAAUACAGCUGUUGAUAUAGCAAACCUUCCCAGACUAUUCUGUUCUCUACAAAUUGUGAUCAGGUAGUCUUUUCUCUUGAUAUUUAGCCCUUUCCCUUUCUUCCCUAGGUCCUUUCUACCCUUCCUGCUGAAAGGUUGUUGCUGAGCCGUGAAAGAUACUGGGAUUCUUGGCCUCCAGAGGAGAGGAAUUCAAUCCAGGGCCAGUGACAAGGCUUGAUCACUCAGAGCUUUUGUGUGAUAAAGUUUUAUUAAAGUAUAAAAGAGAUAGACAAAGCUUCUGACAUAGACACCAGAAGGGGGCAGGAAGAGUGUCCCCCUGCUAGCCUUUGGCAGUAUGUCAUAUACCUAUCAGCAAGCUGCUAAUUAGAGAAAGGAAAUGUCUCAAAACUCAGAGUGGCACCAGGCCCCUCACCCAUAACAUGCAUUUGGAGAUAACAUUGGCACAAGAUGAAUCAUCCCGGGCCAUAAAACAAUUGACAUGAAUCUUGAAGAAAGGCAGGUUUCCAAGUAAAUAUAUAGUUUCAUUAAGAAACAGAGUAGGAGAACAAUGUAUGAGUAAAACAUACUGGUUUGUUGAGCCCUUAUCGGUUCUGAGUCUUAAGCGGAACCGACUUGAAGAAAGACAGAGUUUAGGGUAACUACAUAGUUCAUUAACAUAGCUUAAGGAAAACAUUUCCAUAAGAAAAAUGUAUUGGUUAGCUCAAGGUUUGAGAAAAGUUAAGUUCAGGUGGAACCAGGUGUCAUCAUGGCAACACAGAAUUUUAAAAGAAACCUCCUUUUAAUUCUGUAUAGAGAAGGAAAAAAUCUGACACUUGUAGUUCAUUUCCUCCUGCUGCUUAAGGGAGAAAUAAAAAAUGUCUGAUGCUUGCA
rnacentral:tRNA from 1 species